rnacentral:rRNA from 1 species
UACGUAGGGCGCAAGCGUUGUCCGGAAUUAUUGGGCGUAAAGAGCUCGUAGGCGGUUUGUCGCGUCUGCUGUGAAAACUCGGGGCUUAACCCCGGGCCUGCAGUGGGUACGGGCAGACUAGAGUGCGGUAGGGGAGACUGGAAUUCCUGGUGUAGCGGUGAAUGCGCAGAUAUCAGGAGGAACACCGGUGGCGAAGGCGGGUCUCUGGGCCGUUACUGACGCUGAGGAGCGAAAGCGUGGGGAGCGAACAGG